rnacentral:rRNA from 1 species
GAUGAACGCUAGCGGCAGGCCUAAUACAUGCAAGGCGAAGGGGCAGCAAUGUCACUGUCGUACGGGUGCGUAACGCGUAUGCAACCUACCUAUCACAGGGGAAUAGCCUUUGGAAACAGGGAUUAAUACCGCAUAAAGCAGGGACACCGCAUGGUGAUAUUGCUAAAGAUUUAUCGGUGAUAGAUGGGCAUGCGUCUGAUUAGUUAGUUGGCAGGGUAACGGCCUACCAAGACGAUGAUCAGUAGGGGGCGUCAGAGCGUGGUCCCCCACACUGGCACUGAGAUACGGGCCAGACUCCUACGGGAGGCAGCAGUAGGGAAUAUUGGGCAAUGGAUGCAAGUCUGACCCAGCCAUGCCGCGUGCAGGGAAGAAGGUCCUCUGGAUUGUAAACUGCUUUUAUCGGGGAAGAAUAGUUUCUUGCGAGGGAAUGUGACGGUACCCGAUGAAUAAGCCACGGCUAACUACGUGCCAGCAGCCG